GCUUCCUGGAGGAAGAGCCGGCUGCGAGGUUGGCAUAGGAGAGCCGCCAGGACAGCAACUUCAGACUACAACCCGGGAGCGCCGGGGCACCCUUCUGCGCUCUUUCCCGAGCGUGUUGUAAAUUGGCAUGAUUUCAAGGAAAAAGGAUUUUAUUCUAAUUGCAUAGGCAAGAACUUUUACAUCUGUUACUGCCAAAUCUUCCUCUACUCUGUGAAAUGAAGAACUACCUAUGGGAAAAGACCUUCGCAAACGCAGAAGAAACAAUGAAGAAAGAAAAUGUGAAAGAACACAGCCCUUCUGAUGAGACUCUGCCAAAGUCCUUCCACAUUGGCUUUGUCAAGUUCACACAUGAAUGGUGUGAGGAGACAAGAAAAACAUCACCAGCCUGCAGCACCUUCAUCAGCGUCCCCCAGCAGUUAGAGUUUCUCACUGGCCUCCUUCUCAGCUUUUGUAGCUCAAAGCAAACAGACAAACAAAAAAAUCUUGUGUGUGUGUGUGUGAUUUUAACAUAGAUUUUGCUAAAAAUAAGCUAUUGUUGUGCUAUGAAAUGUGACUGGUGUACUAGAAUCUCAAAAAAAAACCUGAGCUCUCAGUAUUUUAAAGUGUUCCCCGAUUUGAUACUUGUAUAAAAUGAACACGAUAGCAGUAAACUUACAUGCUGAAGUGGAACCUGCCUGUGGUUGAACCCAGGAAAGCUGGGAAAUCUCCUGCUCUUGGUUAAUACAAAAGGGAAAUUUGGGGGAGGGCUCCAAGUCCUGCAGGUAUCCUCACUACAAAGAGGACAGUUUGCUUUGUCCCCCACACUACCA